rnacentral:rRNA from 1 species
UACGAAGGGGGCUAGCGUUGCUCGGAAUCACUGGGCGUAAAGCGCACGUAGGCGGAUUGCUAAGUCAGGGGUGAAAUCCUGGAGCUCAACUCCAGAACUGCCCUUGAUACUGGCGGUCUCGAGUCCGGGAGAGGUGAGUGGAACUGCGAGUGUAGAGGUGAAAUUCGUAGAUAUUCGCAAGAACACCAGUGGCGAAGGCGGCUCACUGGCCCGGUACUGACGCUGAGGUGCGAAAGCGUGGGGAGCAAACAGGGAUU